AGCGAACGCUGGCGGCAGGCUUAACACAUGCAAGUCGAGCGGGCAUCCUUGUGGUGUCAGCGGCAGACGGGUGAGUAACGCGUGGGAACGUGCCCUUCGGUUCGGAAUAACUCAGGGAAACUUGAGCUAAUACCGGAUACGUGCGAGAGCAGAAAGGUUUAUCUGCCGAAGGAUCGGCCCGCGUCUGAUUAGCUAGUUGGUGAGGUUAUGGCUCACCAAGGCGACGAUCAGUAGCUGGUCUGAGAGGAUGAUCAGCCACACUGGGACUGAGACACGGCCCAGACUCCUACGGGAGGCAGCAGUGGGGAAUAUUGGACAAUGGGGGCAACCCUGAUCCAGCCAUGCCGCGUGAGUGAUGACGGCCUUAGGGUUGUAAAGCUCUUUUCUCCGGGACGACAAUGACGGUACCGGAGGAAUAAGCCCCGGCUAACUUCGUG
rnacentral:rRNA from 1 species